AUUGAACGCUGGCGGCAUGCCUUACACAUGCAAGUCGAACGGUAACGCGGGGCAACCUGGCGACGAGUGGCGAACGGGUGAGUAAUGCAUCGGAACGUGCCCAGUAGUGGGGGAUAGCCCGGCGAAAGCCGGAUUAAUACCGCAUACGACCUAUGGGUGAAAGCGGGGGAUCGCAAGACCUCGCGCUAUUGGAGCGGCCGAUGUCAGAUUAGGUAGUUGGUGGGGUAAAGGCCUACCAAGCCUACGAUCUGUAGCUGGUCUGAGAGGACGACCAGCCACACUGGGACUGAGACACGGCCCAGACUCCUACGGGUGGCAG
rnacentral:rRNA from 1 species